AAAAAAAAAAAACGAGAAAAAAAACUCUCUUCCAAACAUAAUGUCAGAGACUUAAAUUCAACCGCAAAUGUUUCGAUUCCUUGAUAAGGAUCGUAUAUGGCUAGGGACAUGAAUUGACAAUUGCUUCUUGCUGACUUUAAUGGGUUAUUAAUGUUUGAAAACAUAUACAAUUUCCCUCCAAUUAUAUCCCAAGCGUCGUUUGACUCAAGUAGUCUUUGAUUAUAUGUAGCAUUAAUUCGAUUAUGACAAGGGAAGAGGUGAUGUUCCAAAACCCAAAUUUUCAUCAUGCAGCCGAAAGUUUAAGCACAAUAUUCGAGACAUUCCCAAUUAUUCUUGUUACAAGUCAGAGGAUCGAAAUAAUGCACGGUGAAGAAGAAGAAGAAGAAAACUUUGAUAUAGAUUUUCAUCUAUUAUGAACACUGUAAAUUUUAGGGAAAAGUCUAAAAUGUAUGUUGAACAUUAAGAUUUGGCAACGUUGCGUUUAGUGAUUGACAACUUUUAUCAGUGAGAAAUGAAAACUAAUAACUUUUGAGAGGGAUUUGAUGGGCACACAAGUUGGCCUAACUUUUGCUUCUGCAAGUGCAACAGAAACCCCAUCUGUCUUUCCUGUUCCAAUCCAAGUAUGAGAGGAAGCCUCCAAAAGACCAUUCAUUCAUUGUCAAAAGAGCCGUCACACCUCAAUGAAAAAUUUUCACAUACGAGACCCCAUUUUCCUAAAAUUCUUAUCAUCAUUUUCAAUUUUUUUGUGCGUUUUCGUCUCAAGUAUACCAAGAAGGAAACAAACAACACAUGCUAGAAAGAUAGUUGAGAACCAAUUUGUUCAAAGAAAAACUGAGGCGCUGAAAGACACAAACCCACUUUAGGAGUUUACUUAUUCAAAACGUUGAAGGUCUUUUUUCUUUGGGCGGUCGAGAGAGAAAGUGAGAGAUAUGGAAAAGCCUCUCUCUCUCUGUGUAGAUGUUUGUGGUCGGCUGCUAGUCAAACCGCAGCCGUACUCAUUGUAUUCCACAAAAUUGUCUGCAUUUUAUACAGAUGUAAACAAUUUCAUGCAUUUAUAAUUUUUUAUGAAAAUUAUAGUUUUGGUUUUUUCAUCCUCCCCUCUCACCUUUUCUCUCAAUCUCAUCGUCACCUCAAUUAUCAUUCUCAUUUUCCUCUAUAUUCUAGCACAAAAAAUAAAAAAUAAAAACUAAAAACUAAAAUUGAAAUGAUUAUCAAACGGACAGUUUCUCAUACCAAACACAUUGGAAACAGGUGUCUAGUUAGCGCGCGAUGCAUACAUAUUAAUCAGUUACCUAAGUUUUCCUUGACGCAUGAAUGAUGCAAGGCUUACAUGCAUGAAAGGGGUUUGACCUUGAACAUCAAUAAUUAAUGAAUGAGACUUAUGAGCUCGAUAUUUGAUAUUGGACCUUCUAAUGGGGCGAGUAGAAGAUCAUACCUAAAUAUCUUGCAAAUAUCUUUUACUCUCACUUUGAUUUUUUCCUUAAUUAGGAUUAACUUGUAAGACGGUCCAUGCCGCACACAAGGCAUAAAAUGUGCACACACAAAAUGCUAAAACCAUUGGAGAGACAAAGCCAAAAGAUCGUCCACACGAGUUCAAUGUGCAAGUAAAUCUGCAAAAAAGGAUGUUUCAGAGAGACGUGUCGAGAACACAUUCCACGAACCACCAAGACAGACAUUAGUGUGGGCAAUAUUGCAGACGGACAGUACGAAAAACAAUGUGAAGUGGAGGGAGAUCUGCUGAGAAAUACACACGGGACCCGCUUGAGAUAUAUACAGCUCUUUGUUUUUGCUUUUGAUUGAUGAUCAUAUUAAGGCCAAGACAAGGUUCAAAGUCAUAUGUGGUCAUGAUUCACGAGCUGUCCAUAGCUGAUUUAUUUAGGGACAAAUAUUGUCAAUAAAAUUUGAUGUCUAUUUCUGAAUUUUGUAGCCAACUUUACAAAGAAAGUCUGAAGUAUGAGUUGUAUUUAGGUCAAAUCCCUCGCUUUAGAUUUCUUAACAUCAACAGUUGGGAGUCACUUAUUUGGUUUGACAAUUACAAUUAAUUAGCAUUUCUGAUGAAAUAUAGUAAUGUAUAUAAAAAGAGGGACCCACUCAAGCUAAUGAAUAAUCAUCAGCCCAACUAUUCCCAAUGAACCCAAAUUCUUCCCGAAAACAUCAGCAAUUGUAGAAAUUUGCAGUCAAAAGCCUCACCACCACCACCAUGUACUUUGUCUUCCUUUUGCCACAGCCCACAAAGGCCUCAGCAACCUCUAAAGUUGUAAAGUUCCAACUGGAUAAGACCACUCUCUAUCGUCCAACCGGUCACCCCAAAACUUAUGUCCCUGGCCCACAUCUGCAUUAUUGAGUCCACGUGUCCCAAACGCUGACGCAAUUAAUAUUAGGUCCUAGUAUGAUACACCAGCAAACUAAUAGCAUGAAGAAGUAGAAGAAGAAGAAGAAGAAGAAGAAGAUAAAAGAGACGAAACCAGCACAAGAAGCACGCCAUGAUUUUCCAAUAAAGCGAGGGCUUGGCUUUCGUGGUCCCCACAACAUAAUAAUACUCACCGCUCAUGCAACGACACGUACUUACCCCGUUUCGUCAAACUUGCAAUUUCAAGACAAUCCCCCCAUGCAAAUCAUUACUUUAUUAGUACGUGAAAACGACACUUAGCCAUACAGGUGGCGUGAACAUGUGUCACUCCCAUGUCCCCCCGGGCAGACUUCUCCGGCUCUGUCGCCGGAACAUUGGACUCACUGUCGGCAUCCAAGAAACCGAAUCUUUGAGCUCCUCUUCCUUUCUCUUUGUUAACUUCGUGCAAGCAAAGCUUUUAGCCUUUUCAUUUGGAUUUUUUCUUUCCUCUUAUAGUUAUUUCUAUAUAUAAACAAUAAAAUAAAAUAAAAAAUAGUUGCUUUACUGUGACACAUUCAAUUAAAAUGACACUCUUCUUGUGAGUCAGCCAAAAUAAUAAUAUUAUUCUAAAUCGAUUAAUUAUGAUUAUUGUCUGCAUCAGGUUUUGUCUGAGCAUUUGUCACGAGUUCAAUACAUGACAAGCUUUUUACUAUGAAUAAGUAAAAAACUUUUUUAUAAUAUGAUAGGACAUAAUCCUAAUUAAGGAGACAAUUAAUAAAAGACACAUCAAUAAUUGUGUCAUUAGAAAAAAAAACAAGGGACAUGAAGAAGUUGCUUCCGGAUACAGUAAGAUUACGAAAGUUGCAAAGACUAAUUAUUAGACCAUUUCACAUGUAUCAACAGCAACAAAUCCCAAUGCCCGGAAAAUUGGAAAAUCCUAAUUAUAGGAUGAUCGUUUGAUCCUGACAAUAACAAUAAUAAUAAUGAAUAUUUUUUCACAUGAAUUCAUUAACAUCCAACAUGUCUUGGAUGUCAAACUUCAACAUGUUGCUACAGUAGCUUUCGCGUUCGUCCUCUGUGCUGCUGUUGAAAUUGUGCGUCGUCGAAUUUGAAUUCAAAGGCGUUGGGCUUGAGGAAGGGGUUGAGAGGACUGAAGUAGUGAAGCUGAAAUUCUGGUUGCUGUUGUUGGAGUGAAAAUUUGAAGUCUCAGGUGAAGGAUCCAAAAUAGUUUGGUGGUGAUCUGAGCCAUACUCAUAUGCAAAGCUUGGUAAUUCAACAUACUCAUCAGUAAAAUUUGAAGGCCCAACGUUGCUCUGCUGCCAAUCACUGGGUUGAGAGUUUUGUGACCUAAAAUAACUUAGGUUUGAUGGGUAGUCUCCAUUGGCCGGCUGCAUGAUGAGUUGUGGAGCUUCAUUGGAGAAUGAGAUUUCUUGAAUGGGUUGCUGAAGUUGGUUAGAUUGGACUUGUUGAAAUGGGAUGUGGGGAUUGUCGCAAAGUUGGUGGAAGUUGUUUGUUUCUUGAGAGUUUUGAAGAAGAAAACUGUUUGCGUUAUGGUUGUUUUCUCUUUGAGAUUGGAUAAGAGAAGUUGCUAGCCUCAGUAGCUCUGGGUUGAGGCCUAUGGGUUGGCCAAGGAGCCUUGAGAAGUUCAUUUGGUGCUGGUGAGAUGAGUUGUAGAGAGAUGAGCUUAGAAUGGAUGAAAAGUCAAGAAGGUCAAGACGAGGGCUGUGGGUGACUGGAUCAAUUCCCAUCCGGAGAAGCCUCUUUCUAAUGUGGGUGUUCCAGUAGUUCUUGAUUUCGUUGUCGGUUCUUCCGGGCAAACGAGCCGCAAUUGCAGACCACCUAUAUAUGAAAUGAACCCAUUAGCUGUUGAACUAUAUAUUAAAGAGACAAUUUGAGUUUCUAAUACUAAUUAAUUAAAAAGUUUAGCUUAAUUACUUGUUGCCCAGUAUGCUGUGGAGUUGAAUAAUUGUCUCCUCCUCUUCAAAAGAAAAUCGACCUCGUUUGAUAUCUGGCCGGAGAUAGUUGGUCCAUCGGAGACGGCAGCUCUUCCCGCACCUUUGUAGCCCUAUUGAUCAUAUACAAUUCAAAAUUAUAAGUAAAAAAAGUUAAUUUAAUGAAAAUAAACAAAGCUUCAAGUCUCAUAAUCUCAUAAUAUACCUGCAUUCUUGGGGAGGGUCCUCCAGUUGCCAUAACCAUGCUUCUGAAUAUAAUCAAGGAGCUUCUCAUCUUCCUCCGGAGUCCAUGGACCUUUCUUGAGGCCAUUUUUGUCGCAACAAGGUGCUCUUCCCAUCCCUCUACUUUGAACGGCUGAGAUUACGAUUAGUGCUCCAACACCCGCAGGCUUAUAAAUAUAUGUAUUUAGCUUAGUUGUACUGUUUGUAGCUCAUGUAUUAAUUGAUGAGAAAUAUGGGUCGAAAUUUGGAGGAUUUGGACGGAAGAGGGUAGCUGGUAAGAGAUGAAUGGAUUAGUUUGUAGGGUCCGUAUGGAAGACGUAGAUGUAUAAAUAGGGCAUGAGAUGGAAGGGUAAGAAAAAAAAAAGGGAGAAGUCAAAACGAUUGCCGUCCUCUGUUUAUCAACAUGGCUACGUGUCCCUUUUCCUUUGAGAAACCAACAUAGCUAUUGUCAUCAUCAAGAUUCAAUAAGUUUUCAACUCCAAUCUCUCUCUCUCUCUCUCUCUCUCUCUCUACAUAUAUUUUAGAUUUGUAUAAUUGUGUACCUACCCAUCAUCCAUGAUCCAUGACCAUGCAUUGCAUGAAUUAUUUUUUUAAUUAGUUUUCUUUUUAAUUGAUUGAUGCACUAUAUAUACAGAAAUCAAUGUGACCACUUGUUGUGUUUAAUAAUAAUUAUUAUUAUUUUUCUUUGUAUAAGUGAUAGUGUAAAUUACUUUAAAUUAAUCGAAUUUAUAUAGAAGAUAAUUCAAACUUGAAUGAAGGGGGCAGGUUAUUAGGGCAUGUUUGGUAUUCAAUUUGAAUCCGACUUUUUAAACUCAAAAACAGAAUUUGAGUCCAAAACAAAAAAAACCUGUUUGGUAGCCCUAUUUUUAAAAACUCGAACUCAAUAACAACUAAAAAAAAAACUCAAUUAUUAAAAACAAAAAAAUAUUUGUUUUUUCAAUUUUUUUAUAACAAUUCACAAGUUCUCACAUUUUUAAAAUUUAAAAGCAGUUUUCAAGUUGAAUACCAACCAAGUUUUUAAAUUUUAAAAAUAAAUUUAAAAACUCCUUACUUUUAAGGAAAAUUAAAAUUUUUGAAUUCCCUAUCUAAAUAGGAUACCAAACUCCCUUAUUUCGUUUUCCGGCGGGACUGGGUUGUGUCAUUCCUGGCUUUCUGCAUUCAUAUUAGGGAGGCUUAGCUGUCAUCGACAUAAGAUAUUGUAGCAUGGGUGCCACGUACCACCCCCCCCCCACAUCCCAAGUCUUUCCCUUUGUGACUUGUGAGCUGACCAGUAUUGUGUCCUUACUGGAACUUCACGUUCACGGCGUCGUUUCUUCUUCCCCUGCACUGCAUGGCUCAACUCACGCCAAUAUCACGAGCCCUUCUCAUCUUGCUAUAAAUAAAUAACUCAGAAAUAAUUGCUUGCCAACUCAAUUAUUCUGUUUAUUAUUUAAAAUAAAUUAUUUUUUUAAAAGAAAAUUUUGAUGAAACGAGGGAAACUUUAUUGAUAAAAUGAAGAAUUACAACGAGAAUGUUGUCCCCAACUCAACAAAUCACAUAAUAGGUCAUCUUAAAUAAGAUCAGAAGACACCUCAAACCAAAUAAAAUUGUCCAUAUUAUACAGACCGACUCGAGCAAGUUAAUAUACAACACCAUUUGCUUCCUUACGAGUAAAUUAAAAAAAAGAACCGGGAAUCUGCAGUUUUGAGGUGGGAGGUCAGAUGAUUCAACAUUUUUGACAAAUUAAUUUAAUUUAAGUGUACGGACACUUCCAAAGAGGUAGUCAAAGCUAGCUAUGAAAAUUUUAGAUUACGUGAUGAGAUUGAGGAGAAGCAUUUAAUAAAAGAUGUGAAGACGGCAAUAAUGGAGUUCGGUGUUUGCCGAAAUAUAUAGAGGCAUUUAUUAUGCAGAUAAAAAAGGCUUGUACAAAAUUUUAAUAUUGCAAAGCGGAUGUCACAUGUUGCAAAUUAGUACGUACACUGUACACGCACAAAUAAUUAAGAAAUUAAAUGUACUUAGCAUGGUUAUCAUCCUAUAAAUAAACAAAAAUUCCGUAAUUAAUCAGAAUCAAAUUCAAAUAUAUAACAUCGAUUUAAGCGCUUGUUUUUUUUUUCUUUUGUUAGUUUGAUUUUACCAAUUAACAGUGUAUAAACAAACAAAAUCAGUUUGACUUUAACUUUGAUUACUGAACUAAACCAUGUUCUACUCUCACUCUCAAACCCAUUGGGAACUUGCUGUCAAUCAAAACGUCAACAACUUCACUUCAUUGACUUGAAGCGAAACUGAUUGAGCAAUUAUAUAUGUAUGGUUUUCUUAUACAAUUUCCGAAUAAACUAAGAAUAGUAAUUACACUAGUUCAAGAAAUCGACUUAAGAUUCCUUCAUUCGAAUUUCAAUCUUAACUUAAUUAAACCUGUUAAUUAAUUCCGACUAUUCAUAAGAUUUGCAGGGGUUUGGAAUAAGUCUCCAUCGAUAAAUUGUUCUACAGUAACCCCAUCGUCGUUUAUGGAUCUUAAAUCCAUCGUUAUUACUCUCUAAUCACUACAAGAAAAAGGGGCAAAGGCCACGGUUUGUCUAGUCCCAUCAAACUUACGGUGGCCAUUAGUGGUGUAAUUAUAUUAAUAUAUUAAAAGAGCUCCAAUCAGCAGAAAUGCACACUAUUUUUUUCAAAGCUUGAUUAUCUAUAUCGUGGUUGGCAGUUGGCACCUUAUCACUUUAUGAUUAUUUUAAGCAAUGGUUUUUAUAAGUUGACCAAUCAUAGCCAUUAAUAGCAAAGAAAUAAAAUUAUUAAACCACAAUUAUUUUUCGAUUUUUUUUAAUAGACUAAGACAUGCAUGCCACGUACACUGAUCACAUGCAUGAUCUAUGAUUUACCGUCAAAUAAUGUUGAUUAAUGACACUUAUAACAUUCUAUUUUACUCGAGGAAAAUAAAAUUGCAUUGCAUUGCAUUGCAUGCAUGACGAUCUCCAAUUUACGAAGCCGUUUUGCUUAGCGCAAAAUUGUUGGAGACUCUGAGUAAUUAAUUUGAUUGAUUAGGUGGAACGCAACUUUACAUGUUACGUGUCUGAACGCAAGACGUUAGUUCAUCCAAAAGAGGGUUGUAGACCGUUGAAAAAGCAAGCAUGCCUGAACCAGAUGGCCUAAUUUAUAAUUAAUUAAAUAUAUCGGACCAUCAUUAGCCUGCCACUUAAGGAAAUCUGACGUCUAUUAUUUAAUCCUCCAAGUCUCUCCCAACAACAAAAUAAACAAGGUCCCUCCCAUCAUGACGUACGAAAGUCUAUGCUGUACUUUAUUUGUUUUUCUCUUCUAUUUAAUUAGUCAUAAUUAUUACCUUAAUCAGGGGAUUGAUCAACCAGUUUAUGCGAUGAGUUCGAAUUUCUUGUGUUAAACUUCCCUAAUCGGCCAUCUGGUGAUCUGGAAGCAUUUUGGUCAUCCAACCAGGCCAGUAGUUUCUAGUAGUACUACGUUAAGUCAACUUUAAAAACACAUUAAUUAAAGUACUAAUUGAGUUUAUAAAACUAAAACAAAUGUUUAAUUUGGACAGGUGUCCCAUUAGAUGUUUUAGUGUACACUUUUCAGAGGUGCCCAUAAAUUUAAAUAUAACAUCGUUGUAAUAAACGUGAUUUCAUGUGGACACACUGUUCAUGGCGUCAUGUCUUAUUCACCUUUAUAUAAGCAUACAAAUGGUGUACGGUCAAAUAUUAUUUUAAUCAUCUACUAAGAUCUUCACCUUGAAAAAAGCUUAUAAUUAAUCUCUAAGCCAAUCCCACACCUUGCUUGUGUGCCCUUCUCACCCCUUACUUUUAUAGUACCUCUGUAUUAUAAAACCCUCAAGCUAGCCUAGAUUUUCAUUGGUUUGAACGGAUAUAUUAAUGUAAUUUAAGUGAUUAAAAGCAGUUAUUUUUACACUCGAAAUCAUAUGUUCAAGUCAUGCCUCCCUCAAAAUUGUUUGUAUCAACAAAAAAGAGUCAUUAAUUUAGAGAGAGCACAAUAUGCAUGGGAGUUAAAGUAAGAAAAAAAGGAGUUGGGUAGUGUAUAAUUGUAUACAAAUCGUAUCAGAAGAAGAGUAUUACCAUCUUUGGUAUUUCAUGAUUAAUAUACGCAACCGUAGACUAAUGUCUCCAUGCUUGGUAUCAAGGAGACAACGUCCACUUAAUUAAGUAACAAAAUAGCUUAAUUAUUAUACAGAAAAGUGGAUUACUGCUUAAAAUACAAAAUACUGACGAUUACGUCUAAUACUAAAAACGGUAAUUAGGGGUCCAAAUCUUAGGGUUUGCUUGUACAUGCAUGUAGCCAAAACACAAAUGCAUAUACGUGUUAGUGUUGAAUGAAUCCCAAAAUACAUAUACCUGGCAGAUUUUCUAAAAAAUGUUGUACAACGAACGUUGAAUAAUGAUUAACAAGCACGAAUUAAUUAUUUGUUCCAUGCAAUUUCGUUGACAGAGUUCACAUAAAUUAGAGUAUACUGAGAUACGAGAUCCAAAGAGUUGCACAGUCACUAUUACAACUCAUAAGCAAAUUUAUAUAAUAUUUUUCUACGUGUUUUAAAGAUAUAUAUAAUAUUUUGUUUUCUUUAUUAGUACGUAGUCCAUGUUGAAUCCACAAGAUUCUAAACUAUAUAUUAUCCAUGUGAUCAAACCCUAAAGAUGAUGAGAUUUCAAGAACUAGAUUUGUACUCAACGUAAGCAUUCUGGGGACACGUAGGGCAUGUUGAUGGGGUUUGAUGGAAGCCUGUGGAAAUGGUGAUAGGAUGAGCACCAUUCUCGAGAUCACAACGUGUCAUAAGAACAGUGGUUUCAAGCUGAAAUGCCAAUGUUUGUACGAUCUUCAUUUGUUUGACUUUUCCUAUUGGGGGGCCAAUCAUUUAUUGACAUAUUGCUUAACUUAUGGUGGGCUUGAGUUCAUUUGAAGGAAAAUAUUUCUCUAGAAGGGUUUUCAUAUAAGUUGCUCAAAGCAGAGCCAUGAAUAACAUUACGAACUGUUAAUUGCUGUGGAAUCUACAAUAAGGAUACUUACUUACUUGAACGACUGACGCUAACACGCUUCCUAUUAAGAUGAAGGAUAGAACGUGGUUAAGAAAACUCCUAUCAAUCAGAGCAAUUGAGUAUAGAAAAUUGCAGUUGGUGAAAAAAUGCACCAUCUGACCCAACCCCUAUGGAAUAAGUAUCAGAAAGGGUAUCAGAUUUUCACAAACCUAAACGAUCUUCUGCUUGAGGAACUGAAAUCUCAGACCAAAAGGGAAUAUAAAAAAAAAGGGAACUGAAAUCUGCUUCUAAUAGAAAGUAUGGUUAUUACAUUGACUUGUAAAGAACCUGGUUCCUCUUACACUGGGAUCCCGUAGCUGGAAAAGAAUUGUGUAUGAUAAUUUUAGGGGACAAUAGUGCACAUGAAGAAUUAAUGUCAAAUGGCAUUCCGAAGAGUUUCUUGCCAUAUUUCAAAAAAUAAAAUCAAAUUGAAACAAAAAUAUAAAUACCUAUUUGAAAUAGUAAUCACCGUGAAACAGUGGACGAAUUGGAAGAUAUCAUCUCUACAAGCCGGUUAUGCAAGUUGCCAUUUGUCACAAGGAUACCACCAGAAGGGUAUAUAUUCCUCCGUCCAAGUUGAUCUGCUGCAAGAUUAAUUUGAUCUCCCUUCCAGUCAGUCACCUGGUUUUACAGGGGAUAAUUUCUUAAAAGGAGGAUAUUGUGAUUUCUCAAUGGAACAAGUAUCAAUAAACAAAGUACUGGCUCCUCCUGUUGUAUAUGUAGGUGUUAUUUUGUUUAGUUCGCUCUAUUUAGUCCAUUGAAACAAGAGGUGUCAUCCUAGAUGAUCAGUCUGUUUUACCUAGUAUCAGAAAACACUUCUCCAAGGAAGGCUGGAGAAACUUUGUUUUGCAAUAGAUAUAACAAACAUAAAUAACUUUAAAAAGAAAAUAUAGAUACCAGAAAUAGUCAAAGGCCUCAAAUUUUAGUUUUCUGUUCUGAAUUCCCAUUAGUUAACCUCUUUGCAGUUUAUACCAAUCCUACAGUGGAGCUUAGCAGCAAACUCAUAUUUUAUAAUAUGUAUUAUGACUUAAAUGCACCAAGUUGGAUACAUUAUGCGAUACUUCAAAAAGAGUCAUAGAAAAAUACCUUUCCCCCUGCUUCAUGCACGCAUAUAAUACCAGCAGCGUGAUCCCAAGCCUACAUUGUGAUAAGUUGAAGUACGUCAUACUGAUGUAGUUCCUAUAAUCCACUUACAACUGGAAUGAAUUGCAAUACCUUGGUAACUUUUUGAACUUUCACAUUCUGCAUAUAAAGAGAUACCCUGCCUGAAGCCACCAUUAUAUACUUGGAUAAACUGCAUGCCAAAAAGAAGAAAGGUACAUACAAGUUCCUGUAAGCAUUGACCAAGAAGCUGAAAGUAAUUUGUUACGGAAUUUCAGAAAUACGGACCCUUAACUUUAUUCUAAUAAGACUAAUAUGUCAAGAGCCAAUUGUACAAUGGUGAAUCAGAUUAAACACUAUAGAGAAACUUUUGCUCUGUAAACUUGAGAAACACAAGACCAUCCUGUUCAAACAGUGGUCAAUGAGUCAUUGUGCAACACAGGCAAUCGGUGAUAGGGUAUAGAUUGUUUCUCUAUGUAUGCAAGAGUAAACAGAUAGAAGAACAAGUUUAACAAUCAUUUAAAAACUACUUUUAAGAUAUCUGAGAAAUCUGACUUUUUAGUAGAAGUAGUCAAGGAGGAAGAUAACCAACCUUCCACAACAAGAUUUCACAAGAAGAAUUUGACCCUCAUCAAUGCUAUCAGCACUAGUUGUUGAGGUGAACAAAGUUGACAGCGGAUAUGACUCCCAUGCAUCACUCGCUCUGAUAGAAUAGCGUGCCUCUUCCACCACGCAACAUCCAUCAACGAAGCAUUGCAUCCAAGAAUAAGGCAUUUUGGCUGUGAGAUUUAGCACAGAUGACAGGCGUUUUGUCCAUGUGCCACACCCAGUAUGAGCAACCAUAAUAAUCCCUGAUCCAGGUGGAGUGUUUUUUUCUUCCUGGACUUCAGAGGUGGAUUUGUUGGAUACGGCAUUCUGCCAGUUCGGGCAGCCCAUGACAGCUAAUACAAUCUGUCCGUCAACUACAAGAGCCAAACCUACCUGAAAAUUGAGGUUGUUUAUGGGCAACUCAUAUAGUAAUAAGCAAUGUAGUGAAACAGGUACGAAUUUCUAUACAGAAUACAGCUUCAAUCAUUUAUUUUCGCAACAUAUAAGUGCUAUUACUAUGUAUGAUUUGACACCAUUGGCCUUCUUAAAUAAGAAAGCAACAUAGCAACCAUAAUCACUUCAAAGCUGUAAUCUGCUUGAAGAUUUAUUUUCAAUCUGACCAAUAACUAAGACAUCCAUUUACCUCUGGGUAUAUAGAUUUCUAUUUUAAUAACUUGGUAAAAUUUGUCUGAAAUUCCUACUUGAGUUAAGCUUCCCCUCUCUCUUUUUCUCUUUGUCUCUUGCUUGGAUACUUCCAUUGUGUAGAAUAGAUUGCGUGUUCUUUCUGUUUCUAUGAUUAUUUUCACAAUUCCUACUUGAGUUAAGCUUCCCCUCUUUCUCUUUCUAUUUGCCUCUUACUUGGAUACUUCCAUUGUUUAUAUUCACAACAUAAGUUACUCCAUUUUGUAUUUAUUUCCUGCAUCCUAAGUUUGAAUAAAAACAUCCGUAGUAAUACUAUCAGGAAGGUUGGGUUGGAAGCAGAAACUCUUGAAUAGUAUAAUUUCAAUAGUGUAAACUUCUAGCAGCAUUUGAUUAGUUUAGAUACAGUAAAAUGCAUCCUGUAAUAUCGAUACGACAUUAGACGCAAUUAGAUAACUACAACUUGAUGACCGAUGAACAAAUUUACAGGCAAAUAUCUGUUGUACUCUAUAGCAAAGUUAAUUACAGGUGCCAUAAGAUUCAAAACUCACUGUCAUGACCAAAUAUCAGGGAGAGGGGGGCAAAAGAAAGAAACUCAAUGCAACAUUGUUGAAGUUAGUAAGACAUACCACAUACAACGCCUGAUUUCCUUUCACAAAUCCUUGGGUGCCAUCAAUUGGGUCCAGUACCUGCAUUAUGCUUCUCAGUUCAUUUUGGAAGGCAACAAUGUUUAACUAAAAACUGCAACCAUGAAAGAAAGCAACGAUUUUUAAGGAGAGAAUAAAGGAACACACACAAAGCUGUAAUCUUUGUAAUGUUCAAUUCAAGCAUACGAUGCAAAUGCAAAUCCGAAACAAACCCAAUACGUGGCCGGCUGAGCUCCGAAAGUAGAACCAUCCUGGCCCCCUCUGUCAAUGGCUUCCAAUACAUGAUCAGGCGUCCAUGGGUUUUCUCCAUGGCUGGUCUUGCUAAUAACCGCAUCGAAAACUGGCCCUACUAGAUUAUUUGAACGUACAAACGCAGAGUCUUCUUCCGCCACCAAGGGAAUGGAAGGGAAGCGUUUACCAAGCUCUGCCGCCACCAAACUCCAAUCAAAAUUUGCUAAAUAAAUAAAUACAAAAAAAAAAGGACUAAUUAGCAAUUACCCAAACUCAAGAGGGCCUGGACACCAAAAUCCGCCACCGUGACCGGAGUCUGGUCAUUUUUUUCAACAACCCGUCGUUUACUCGAUAGCAAAGACGAUUGGACUUCGACGCAGAGCGCGCAAGCUCUCUCUACGGCGUCGACGGCUGCUUCCAGCUCCCGAUGGUACUUGGCCUUCUCAGUGCCGAACGGCAAACUCGACCUCACGCUGAAGCGUAGCCUGCGGACCGCCGGAUCGGGCUGACUGAAUCGGACGGUCGAGAAAUGCCGGGCUGAGUGGACGAGAAUCAUGGCGGGUUAAACGGUCGGCUGUAUAGUUUGAGUUAAACAGUUGUUAAAAGGCGGUUGGUGGAGACUGAAGCCUGCCAUAGUGGGCCUGAAAUUCCGAGCGAAAAGUUUAUACAGCCCAAAUUCCAGCUUAUCCAUUUUAUCAUUUCAGUCUGGGCCGUUUUUUAAACCCUUCUCUUUAGAUUAUGACUUCAAACUCGCCCCAAAUAUUGAUUUUCUUUUUUUUUCUUUUUUUCUUUUUUAAAUGUAAAAUUGUUUGGUUAGAAAUAAAUAAUUUCAAACCAUUUGUGCUUAGCUAGCUUAGACUCAUUUUGUGCUCCUCUUUCGUGGACCAAUAAUCUCGUAACAAUCUAACAUAAUUUAUACUUAUGUCACAAAGUAUAAGGUUUUAUAGGUGAUUCAAUUAAUCAAGUAUAUUUGGGAGCUUCAAACAUACAAUUUCGAAUGUAUAACUAACUACUCUCAACCAAUUGAAUUACAAAUCUUUUAAAUGCCUGAUCUAUCGUUUAGAUAAAAUCAUUUUAACGUGUUUACCCCGAUCAAGAAUAAUUCAAAACAUCUAAAUCAGAAAUGAUCUUUUAUCAUGUAAAGGAUAAUUAUUUAAAAUCCGGAAGACAAAAACUUCCAGAAUCCCACGUAGAAAAUCUUGUCCUUAUCCUGAAGUUUAGAGCUAUCCUAAGACACGUGGCCCUCGCUCACUGGAUAAGACCCCACUGCCCCCCAUUUUUCAUUGCAAAGUCCGUUAUGCUCACGCAACCCAUCAACAUCACUGCCGUCUGUUUCCCAUUUUUCAGCGGUCAACAAAGCCAUAGAUUUCUAAAACCUGGGAUUCAUCUACUGAAUUCACCUUUUUCUCUCUUUACCCUCUCUAUAUAUACAAGCAAGAUCAAUCCAAAAGCAAAAGUGAUAAUAAAAAAAACAAUUGCAACCCAAGAUUUUUUGUUGCUUUGAAAAUUCAUCUGUGGGAUAUUAUUAUCUGGGCAUGAGCUUGAGGGACGUGAGUAGAGUGGUGUACCAGGCAGGGAUGAGGGUUAUGCAGGGGGUCAAAGAGCAGGCUCCCAAGUGUGGUGGUUCAUCAUCUUCUUCUUCUUCUUCAUCUUCCUCUUCAAAGCAGGCAUGGCGUUUCUCUUCAUCUGUCGAUUCGGGUGCUUUCAAGGCUGCCAACAGUGACAAGGUUAAGCAAGCAGAGGAGUCUCUCAGGACUGUCAUGUACUUGAGCUGUUGGGGUCCUAACUGAUCAGCGGUGGCGUUUUACUCUUUAAUCUAAACCAAAGCAAGCAGCUACAAACGAGAUUAAUCAAAUUUGAGAGGUGUCUUGCUUUUAGCUCUUCAGCUUAGUGCUUUUUGGUGUAAAUUUUGAUGGGAGAGGUGUAAAUUUCUUUUGUGUAGUUUAUAUGCAUGUAUAUUAUUUACCCUUACCCCUUUCUAUCAAAUUUCAAGUCAAUAUCCUAUCGGUUUGAAAAAUGAGUCCAAUUGCAAGGUUGAGUUCAGCUAGUUACUUAAGGCAAUAUGUAAGUUUUUUUUACGCUCGAAUUCGAUCUCU
rnacentral:lncRNA from 1 species